rnacentral:rRNA from 1 species
GGAUAACAACAUAAGACGAGAAGACCCUAUGAAGCUUUAGAUACGGGGCAGAUCAUGUUAAACACUCCUUGAUAAAGGACAAAACCAAAUGAACCCUGCCCUAAUGUCUUUGGUUGGGGCGACCGCGGGGAAACAAAAAACCCCCACGUGGAAUGGGAGCACUCCCUCCUACAACUAAGAGCUGCUGCUCAAGUUAACAGAAUUUUCUGACCAAUAAGAUCCGGCAACGCCGAUCAACGGACCGAGUUACUCUAGGGAUAACAGCGCAAUCCCCUUUUAGAGCCCAUAUCGACAAGG